UAAGGAAUCUUCGGCAAUGGGGGCAACCCUGACCGAGCAACGCCGCGUGAGUGAAGAAGGUUUUCGGAUCGUAAAGCUCUGUUGUAAGUCAAGAACGGGUGUGAGAGUGGAAAGUUCACACUGUGACGGUAGCUUACCAGAAAGGGACGGCUAACUACGUGCCAGCAGCCGCGGUAAUACGUAGGUCCCGAGCGUUGUCCGGAUUUAUUGGGCGUAAAGCGAGCGCAGGCGGUUUGAUAAGUCUGAAGUUAAAGGCUGUGGCUCAACCAUAGUUCGCUUUGGAAACUGUCAAACUUGAGUGCAGAAGGGGAGAGUGGAAUUCCAUGUGUAGCGGUGAAAUGCGUAGAUAUAUGGAGGAACACCGGUGGCGAAAGCGGCUCUCUGGUCUGUAACUGACGCUGAGGCUCGAAAGCGUGGGGAGCGAACAGGAUUAGAUACCCUGGUAGUCCACGCCGUAAACGAUGAGUGCUAGGUGUUGGAUCCUUUCCGGGAUUCAGUGCCGAAGCUAACGCAUUAAGCACUCCGCCUGGGGAGUACGACCGCAAGGUUGAAAC
rnacentral:rRNA from 1 species